rnacentral:rRNA from 1 species
CAAUAGCGUAUAUUAAAGUUGUUGCGGUUAAAAGCUCGUAGUUGGAUUUCUGCCGAGGACGACCGGUCCGCCCUCUGGGUGAGUAUCUGGCUUGGCCUGGGCAUCUUCUUGGAGAACGUAGCUGCACUUGACUGUGUGGUGCGGUAUCCAGGACUUUUACUUUGAGGAAAUUAGAGUGUUUCAAGCAGGCAUGCGCCUUGAAUACAUUAGCAUGGAAUAAUAAGAUAGGACCUCGGUUCUAUUUUGUUGGUUUCUAGAGCUGAGGUAAUGAUUAAUAGGGAUAGUUGGGGGCAUUCGUAUUUAACUGUCAGAGGUGAAAUUCUUGGAUUGACGGAAGACGAACAACUGCGAAAGCAUCUGCCAAGGAUGUUUUCAUUGAUCAAGAACGAAAGUUAGGGGAUCGAAGAUGAUCAGAUACCGU